GCCCUCGUAGCAUAGUGGAUAAUGCGUCGGACUUCUAAUCCGAAGGUCCCGGGUUCGAACCCCGGCGGGGGCG